rnacentral:sRNA from 1 species
AAUUUAUGUUAUUAAUGGGACCAUAUAUUUACAUAGAAUUUU